UACGGGAGGCAGCAGUGGGGAAUAUUGGACAAUGGGCGAAACCCUGAUGCAGCCAUGCCGCGUGUGUGAAGAAGGCCUUCGGGUUGUAAAGCACUUCCAGCGAGGAGGAAAGGAGUAUGUUUAAUAAACGUGCUCUGUGACGUUACUCGCAGAAGAAGCACCGGCUAACUACGUGCCAGCAGCCGCGGUAAU
rnacentral:rRNA from 1 species